rnacentral:ncRNA from 1 species
AAGUGGGGACGGCCUCACCUCUUUAUAAAUAACCGGGGACGGCCCCG